rnacentral:rRNA from 1 species
UGAGUACGAGACGCUAAGGCGUCGAAGUGGUGUAUAUCAGACUUCCAAGAAAAGCUUGCACUGUCAUAAAUAAAGAAUGCCUGUACCAUAACCGACACAGGUGGGUAGGUAGAGUAUACUAAGGGGCGCGAGAUAACUCUCUCUAAGGAACUCGGCAAAAUAACUCCGUAACUUCGGGAGAAGGAGUGCCUUAUUUAUAAGGCUGCAAUAACAAGAUCCAAGCAACUGUUUAUCAAAAACACAGGUCUCCGCUAAGUCGUAAGACGAUGUAUGGGGGCUGACGCCUGCCCAGUGCCAGAAGGUUAAAGAAGUUGGUUAGCAUUAGCGAAGCUGAUAACUGAAGCCCUGGUGAACGGCGGCCGUAACAAUAACGGUCCUAAGGUAGCGAAAUUCCUUGUCGGGUAAGUUCCGACCCGCACGAAAGGCGUAAUGAUUUGGAUACUGUCUCGGAGAGGGGCUCGGUGAAAUAGACUUGUCUGUGAAGAUGCGGACUACCUGCACCAGGACAGAAAGACCCUAUGAAGCUUUACUGUAACCUGAAAUUGAAAUUGGACUUUAGUCGCGCAGCAUAGGUGGGAGGCUUUGAUGAUACUCUUGCGGGAGUAUCGGAGCUAUCAGUGAGAUACCACUCUUCUAAUGUUAGAUUUCUAACUUUGAAUCAUUAUCUGGUCAAAGAACAGUUUCAGGCGGGCAGUUUGACUGGGGCGGUCGCCUCCUAAAUGGUAACGGAGGCGUACAAAGGUUUCCUCUGAACGGGUAGAAAUCGUAUCUAGAGUGUAAAGGCAUAAGGAAGCUUGACUGUGAGACCUACAAGUCGAACAGGGACGAAAGUCGGUCUUAGUGAUCUGACGGUACUGAGUGGAAAGGCCGUCACUCAACGGAUAAAAGUUACUCUAGGAUAACAGGCUGAUCCCCCCCAAGAGUUCACAUCGACGGGGAGGUUUGGCACCUCGAUGUCGGCUCAUCGCAUCCUGGGGCGGUAGUACGUCCCAAGGGUUGGGCUGUUCGCCCAUGAAAGCGGUACGCGAGCUGGGUUCAGAACGUCGUGAGACAGUUCGGUCCAUAUCCGGUGUAGGCGUUAGAAUAUUGAGAGGAGCCUUCUCUAGUACGAGAGGACCGAGAAGGACAUACCUAUGGUGUACCAGUUAUCGUGCCAACGGUAAACGCUGGGUAGCUAAGUAUGGAGUGGAUAACCGCUGAAAGCAUCUAAGUGGGAAGCCCACCUCGAGAUGAG